CCUACGGGUGGCUGCAGUUAGGAAUCUUCCACAAUGGGCGAAAGCCUGAUGGAGCGACGCCGCGUGAGGGAUGAAGGUUCUCGGAUCGUAAACCUCUGAACUGACGACGAAAGACCCUUCGGGGAGAUGACGGUAGUCAGGUAAUAGCACCGGCUAACUCCGUGCCAGCAGCCGCGGUAAUACGGAGGGUGCAAGCGUUACCCGGAAUCACUGGGCGUAAAGGGCGUGUAGGCGGACACUUAAGUCUGGUUUUAAAGACCGGGGCUCAACCCCGG
rnacentral:rRNA from 1 species